rnacentral:rRNA from 1 species
UGGGGAAUAUUGCACAAUGGGCGGAAGCCUGAUGCAGCGACGCCGCGUGAGGGAUGACGGCCUUCGGGUUGUAAACCUCUUUCAGUAGGGACGAAGCGUAAGUGACGGUACCUGCAGAAGAAGCACCGGCUAAUUCCGUGCCAGCAGCCGCGGUAAUACGGAAGGUUCGGGCGUUAUCCGGAUUUAUUGGGUUUAAAGGGAGCGUAGGCCGUUUGGUAAGCGUGUUGUGAAAUGUAGGAGCUCAACUUCUAGAUUGCAGCGCGAACUGUCAGACCUGAGUGCGCACAACGUAGGCGGAAUUCAUGGUGUAGCGGUGAAAUGCUUAGAUAUCAUGAAGAACUCCGAUUGCGAAGGCAGCUUACGGGAGCGCAACUGACGCUGAAGCUCGAAGGUGCGGGUAUCGAACAGG